rnacentral:tRNA from 1 species
GGAGAGGUAGCGCAGCUGGCCUAACGCGCGCGAUUGGAAAUCGCGUAAGGAGCAAUCCUUCGCGGGUUCGAAUCCCGCCCUCUCCGCCU